rnacentral:rRNA from 1 species
AUUGAACGCUGGCGGCAGGCCUAACACAUGCAAAUCGAACGGUAGCAGGAAGAAGCUUGCUUCUUUGCUGACGAGUGGCGGACGGGUGAGUAAUGUCUGGGAAACUGCCUGAUGGAGGGGGAUAACUACUGGAAACGGUAGCUAAUACCGCAUAACGUCGCAAGACCAAAGAGGGGGACCUUCGGGCCUCUUGCCAUCAGAUGUGCCCAGAUGGGAUUAGCUAGUAGGUGGGGUAACGGCUCACCUAGGCGACGAUCCCUAGCUGGUCUGAGAGGAUGACCAGCCACACUGGAACUGAGACACGGUCCAGACUCCUACGGGAGGCAGCAGUGGGGAAUAUUGCACAAUGGGCGCAAGCCUGAUGCAGCCAUGCCGCGUGUGUGAAGAAGGCCUUCGGGUUGUAAAGCACUUUCAGCGGGGAGGAAGGGGGAAUGGUUAAUAACCAUUGCCAUUGACGUUACCCGCAGAAGAAGCACCGGCUAACUCCGUGCCAGCCGCCGCCGUAA